UCCUUACAGUGGCUCCUAUAAUACAAGCCAUGCUGGCGGCACAGCUGUCCUGUUUCCGCCUGGUGUUAAAGCGUCCGAGGUCAUGGAGCAAGGGAAGUCGGCUUAGCUGGACCCCGGAGCAGGAGCCGGACCGUCCUGCAGAUGUCAUCCUCUGUGAACCACAUCAGGCUCAUACCUUAUUUUUUCUUACAUUUUAAUUCUAUGUAGUCUUGUACCUGUGUUUGUCAUAUCAAAUAAAAUUGUUCCACUGAAA